rnacentral:rRNA from 1 species
CCUACGGGAGGCAGCAGUGAGGAAUAUUGGUCAAUGGCCGGAAGGCUGAACCAGCCAUGCCGCGUGAAGGCCAGGGCCAUACGGGCGUUAAACUUCUUUUGUGCGGGAGCAAUAAUGGUCACGUGUGGCCAGACGAGAGUACCGUACGAAUAAGCAUCGGCUAACUCCGUGCCAGCAGCCGCGGUAAUACGGGGGAUGCAAGCGUUAUCCGGAUUUAUUGGGUUUAAAGGGUGCGUAGGCUGUGAGGUAAGUCAGCGGGGAAAUGCCCCCGCUCAACGGGGUGAAGUGCCAUUGAUACUGCCUUGCUGGAGUGCGGGUGCCGUGGGAGGAAUGUGUGGUGUAGCGGUGAAAUGCAUAGAUAUCACACAGAACACCGAUUGCGAAGGCAUCUCACGAAUCCGCGAUUGACGCUGAUGCACGAAAGCGUGGGUAUCAAACAGGAUUAGAUACCCUAGUAGUC